AUGAAAGGUGUGAGUUCAGACACACACUGCAAAGGAGGGAGAAUCCUUGGUGAGAUCCAGCAGAGACUGUCAACCAUUUUCCUAAGUAAUAGUGGGUGGUUGUUACUAGUUGUGUGAAAAGAAGCUUGGUGGAAAAGAAUAUUCACUGGACAGGAAACCAAAAAGAAAAAGAAAAAAACUUCACAAAUCUCACAAACCUGAGGACAUAUAGAAAGAUCCCGCCUGGGAGUGAAGCUGAGGUUUACCGCAGCUAAGUUUCCUCCCAAAUAACUGCAUGAAAAAUUGACUGGCCACACUUUCCCACAAUAUGCCAACCCCACUGCCCAGGCACAGUGGAAGAUUACCAGUGAGAGAGGUUUCAUUAGCACUGUCUUGAGCUCCAUGUCACUUUGUCUCAAAAAAUAAGGUUCCUAUUGAAUAGCCCAAAUGAAUGAAGAGAUGGCCAUGCUGUCCUAAGGAGUUCCAGUCUCAUUGGCCUCACGCAAUGGAAGGUUAUACAGGGGUGAGUGGUUUUGUUUUCCCUCAAUGAUCUAGAGACUUUUGGCAAGUUUGUGCUUCAUCUGGACUGGAACCACCACCUCUCAGCCACCAGUAUUCUAUUUUAUUUU